GGGAGGCGGAGCUUGCAGUGAGCCGAGAUUGCGUCACCGCACUCCAGCCUGGGCGACAGAGCGAGACUCCGUCUCAAAAAAAAUGACUGGACAAAAAACACUCUGAUGCAAACAGGCAAGAAACCCAGCAAGGCCUAUCUGGAUUCUCCUUGGCCUGUCUGCAGCAUUCAUUCCUUCUGGGUAUGGAACAGGACCCUCUGGAAUGGGGGCUGUGGCCUACAACAGUUAAACAAGGUGAGAAGAAACAUCAGAAGCAGUUGAAAGACCAGGAUGUGGGUCCUCUGGGGCUGAGGAGGCAUUCUGAAUCAACUGUGUGUUCUACACCUGUGUUUUAACUGUGACCUGUCACAUGAGGACAAGUGUGGAAUUUCCCACUUUUGUGCCAUGCUCCCAACAGAUUGGAUGAUGCCCACACACAUUGAGGCGGCCAACCUGCUUUACUGAAUUCACCAAUUCAAAUGCUAACCUCAUCUGGAAACACCCUCGCAGACACACUCAGACACAACGUUUAAUCUGGGUGCCCCUUGGCCAGUCAUGUUGACACAUAGAAUUAACCAUCACAGGAGUUACAUCUGGUGUGAAAACCACAAAGAAAUCAGGAAGGAUGAAAACUGUGGUGGACAUUUUCUCUUUUGACCACACUACCUCUUUUUUCCCCCCUUCUUUUGGAGAGAGAGAAUUUCCACUUAACUCUUCCCCCAAUGUGUGCACCUGUGCUAAGACUCUCAGGGCAUUCUGCACUGCUCACUCCAAGCCACCAG
rnacentral:lncRNA from 10 species